GGGGGAUGGAACUGGCACCCAGGUGGAGGAGAGGUAGGAGCUGCAGCUGAGGAGCCCUGGAGCAGAGUGCGCGGACACAGUUCAGGAGCAGCGUUCCCUCAGGGUUUCCUGUUGUGCGCGCCUGCGGAUGUGACCACAGACGGACCUGGAGGGAAAGACAACACCUGAGAGUAAACAGGGAGCAGGAGGAGUGGGAUCCCUGAAGCUGCCUGGGAGGAUCCAAAAGGAACAGUUCUGGGACUGAAGCCGAAUUGCAGGCAGAGUUGCCGAAGGAUUGGCCGCACCCACAACCCCUGGCUACAGGAGACCCCCUCUGGCCGCGCCCAUGGGCGAGAAAGCCAACACGUGCCCAUAUUGUGGCAAAGGCUUCCGGCGCACUUCUCACCUGACCCGGCACCUGGGCACCCACUCGGGGGGACAGCAGCGCCUCACCACCUGCAGCCACCGCAG